rnacentral:rRNA from 1 species
UACGUAGGUGGCAAGCGUUGUCCGGAAUUACUGGGCGUAAAGAGCGCGCAGGCGGCUGGUCAAGUCCGAUGUGAAAGCUCCCGGCUUAACUGGGAAAUUUGCAUCGGAAACUGAUCGGCUUGAAGGUGGGGAGAGGGUAGUGGAAUUCCCGGUGUAGUGGUGAAAUGCGUAGAUAUCGGGAGGAACACCAGUGGCGAAGGCGACUACCUGGCCCACUCUUGACGCUGAGGCGCGAAAGCUAGGGGAGCGAACGGGG